UGUCCCUGAGCUGGGGCGAGUGGCCCUUGUGGGUGCCCAUCUCGCAUCAGCCCAGGGACAAAGCAACUGCUCAUUUAUCCCAGCUUGUUUUUUUGGCCUGUGCCUAUAUCUGGCUCAUGGUUCCGACCCAGGA
ensembl:snoRNA